GACGAACGCUGGCAGCGUGCUUAACACAUGCAAGUCGAACGGAAAGGCCCUGCUUUUGUGGCGUGCUCGAGUGGCGAACGUGAGAAUAACCCGUGGGUAGCCUGACCAUGGCUUUGGGCUGCCUUCAGGACACUAGAGCUAAUACCGGAUAAGAGCUCCUGCUGCAUAGGGGGGGUUGGCAAGUGUCGGCGGAUGGGGAUGGGCUCGCGGCUUCUCAGCUGGUUGGUGGGGGAGUGUCUUACCAGGUAUUUGACGAGUAGCCGGCCUGAGAGGGUGACCGGCAACAUUGGGACUGAGAUGCGGCGCAGAAUACUACGGGAGGAAGCAGUGGGGAAUAAUGCACAAUGGGCGGAAGCCUGAUGCAGCAACGCCGCGUGCGGGAUGAAGGCCGUCGGGUUGUAAUCCGCUUCCGCCUGUGACGAAGCGUGAGUGACGGUAAUGGGUAAAGAAGCACCGGCUAACUACGUG
rnacentral:rRNA from 1 species